UGGCUGAGCGGUAAAGCACUUGGCUUCCGACCCAAGGGUCCCGAGUUCGAAUCCUGG
rnacentral:tRNA from 1 species